rnacentral:tRNA from 2 species
UGGGCUGUGGUGAAGCGGUUAACACCCCAGAUUUUGACUCUGGUAUUCGUGGGUUCGAUUCCCACCAGUCUAG